GGGUUGUGAGGUUAAGCGACUAAGCGUACACGGUGGAUGCCCUGGCAGUCAGAGGCGAUGAAGGACGUGCUAAUCUGCGAAAAGCGUCGGUAAGGUGAUAUGAACCGUUACAGCCGGCGAUGUCCGAAUGGGGAAACCCAGUGCAAUUCGUUGCACUAUCGUUAACUGAAUACAUAGGUUAACGAGGCGAACCGGGGGAACUGAAACAUCUAAGUACCCCGAGGAAAAGAAAUCAACCGAGAUUCCCCCAGUAGCGGCGAGCGAACGGGGAGCAGCCCAGAGUCUGAAUCAGCUUGUGUGUUAGUGGAACGGUCUGGAAAGUCCGACGGUACAGGGUGAUAGUCCCGUACACCAAAAUGCACAGGUUGUGAACUCGAAGAGUAGGGCGGGACACGUGGUAUCCUGUCUGAAUAUGGGGGGACCAUCCUCCAAGGCUAAAUACUCCUGACUGACCGAUAGUGAACCAGUACCGUGAGGGAAAGGCGAAAAGAACCCCGGCGAGGGGAGUGAAAAAGAACCUGAAACCGUGUACGUACAAGCAGUGGGAGCACCUUCGGGUGUGACUGCGUACCUUUUGUAUAAUGGGUCAGCGACUUAUAUUCUGUAGCAAGGUUAACCGUAUAGGGGAGCCGCAGGGAAACCGAGUCUUAACUGGGCGUUAAGUUGCAGGGUAUAGACCCGAAACCCGGUGAUCUAGCCAUGGGCAGGUUGAAGGUUGGGUAACACUAACUGGAGGACCGAACCGACUAAUGUUGAAAAAUUAGCGGAUGACUUGUGGCUGGGGGUGAAAGGCCAAUCAAACCGGGAGAUAGCUGGUUCUCCCCGAAAGCUAUUUAGGUAGCGCCUCGUGAAUUCAUCUUCGGGGGUAGAGCACUGUUUCGGCUAGGGGGUCAUCCCGACUUACCAACCCGAUGCAAACUACGAAUACCGAAGAAUGUUAUCACGGGAGACACACGGCGGGUGCUAACGUCCGUCGUGAAGAGGGAAACAACCCAGACCGCCAGCUAAGGUCCCAAAGUCAUGGUUAAGUGGGAAACGAUGUGGGAAGGCACAGACAGCCAGGAUGUUGGCUUAGAAGCAGCCAUCAUUUAAAGAAAGCGUAAUAGCUCACUGGUCGAGUCGGCCUGCGCGGAAGAUGUAACGGGGCUAAACCAUGCACCGAAGCUGCGGCAGCGAC
rnacentral:rRNA from 1 species